rnacentral:rRNA from 2 species
GCUUACCAUGCAAGUCGAACGAUGAAGCCCAGCUUGCUGGGUGGAUUAGUGGCGAACGGGUGAGUAACACGUGAGUAACCUGCCCUUAACUCUGGGAUAAGCCUGGGAAACUGGGUCUAAUACCGGAUAGGAGCGUCCACCGCAUGGUGGGUGUUGGAAAGAUUUAUCGGUUUUGGAUGGACUCGCGGCCUAUCAGCUUGUUGGUGAGGUAAUGGCUCACCAAGGCGACGACGGGUAGCCGGCCUGAGAGGGUGACCGGCCACACUGGGACUGAGACACGGCCCAGACUCCUACGGGAGGCAGCAGUGGGGAAUAUUGCACAAUGGGCGAAAGCCUGAUGCAGCGACGCCGCGUGAGGGAUGACGGCCUUCGGGUUGUAAACCUCUUUCAGUAGGGAAGAAGCGAAAGUGACGGUACCUGCAGAAGAAGCACCGGCUAACUACGUGCCAGCAGCCGCGGUAAUACGUAGGGUGCGAGCGUUAUCCGGAAUUAUUGGGCGUAAAGAGCUCGUAGGCGGUUUGUCGCGUCUGUCGUGAAAGUCCGGGGCUUAACCCCGGAUCUGCGGUGGGUACGGGCAGACUAGAGUGCAGUAGGGGAGACUGGAAUUCCUGGUGUAGCGGUGGAAUGCGCAGAUAUCAGGAGGAACACCGAUGGCGAAGGCAGGUCUCUGGGCUGUAACUGACGCUGAGGAGCGAAAGCAUGGGGAGCGAACAGGAUUAGAUACCCUGGUAGUCCAUGCCGUAAACGUUGGGCACUAGGUGUGGGGACCAUUCCACGGUUUCCGCGCCGCAGCUAACGCAUUAAGUGCCCCGCCUGGGGAGUACGGCCGCAAGGCUAAAACUCAAAGGAAUUGACGGGGGCCCGCACAAGCGGCGGAGCAUGCGGAUUAAUUCGAUGCAACGCGAAGAACCUUACCAAGGCUUGACAUGUUCUCGAUCGCCGUAGAGAUACGGUUUCCCCUUUGGGGCGGGUUCACAGGUGGUGCAUGGGUUGUCGUCAGCUCGUGUCGUGAGAUGUUGGGUUAAGUCCCGCAACGAG